rnacentral:rRNA from 1 species
UACGAAGGGGGCUAGCGUUGUUCGGAAUUACUGGGCGUAAAGGGCUCGUAGGCGGCCAACUAAGUCAGACGUGAAAUCCCUCGGCUUAACCGGGGAACUGCGUCUGAUACUGGUUGGCUUGAAUCCGGGAGAGGGAUGUGGAAUUCCAGGUGUAGCGGUGAAAUGCGUAGAUAUCUGGAGGAACACCGGUGGCGAAGGCGGCAUCCUGGACCGGUAUUGACGCUGAGGAGCGAAAGCCAGGGGAGCAAACGGG